rnacentral:rRNA from 1 species
UACGGGGGGGCAAGCGUUGUUCGGAAUUACUGGGCGUAAAGGGCUCGUAGGCGGCCAACUAAGUCGGACGUGAAAUCCCUCGGCUUAACCGGGGAACUGCGUCCGAUACUGGAUGGCUUGAGUUCGGGAGAGGGAUGCGGAAUUCCAGGUGUAGCGGUGAAAUGCGUAGAUAUCUGGAGGAACACCGGUGGCGAAGGCGGCAUCCUGGACCGACACUGACGCUGAGGAGCGAAAGCCAGGGGAGCAAACGGG